ACGCACGCUGGCGGCGUGCUUAACACAUGCAAGUCGAACGGAAAGGCCCUGCUUUUGUGGGGUGCUCGAGUGGCGAACGGGUGAGUAACACGUGAGUAACCUGCCCUUGACUUUGGGAUAACUUCAGGAAACUGGGGCUAAUACCGGAUAGGAGCUCCUGCUGCAUGGUGGGGGUUGGAAAGUUUCGGCGGUUGGGGAUGGACUCGCGGCUUAUCAGCUUGUUGGUGGGGUAGUGGCUUACCACGGCUUUGACGGGUAGCCGGCCUGAGAGGGUGACCGGCCACAUUGGGACUGAGAUACGGCCCAGACUCCUACGGGAGGCAGCAGUGGGGAAUAUUGCACAAUGGGCGGAAGCCUGAUGCAGCAACGCCGCGUGCGGGAUGACGGCCUUCGGGUUGUAAACCGCUUUCGCCUGUGACGAAGCGUGAGUGACGGUAAUGGGUAAAGAAGCACCGGCUAACUACGUG
rnacentral:rRNA from 1 species